GACAAUGACAAUAAUUGAUAAGUGAUGACCUCGGUGUCUCCGUCCCUGCUUCCACAUCCAAAAGAUCACUGGAUUCAAUCCAAGCCACCAUUUUUGUCAGGCAGUUUCGAGACGAUCCGGCGGGAAGGUGAUGAGCUGAGCAGCUUCUUGAAACGUGUGAGUAGGUAAGUUACUUCGGGCGGGCAAGUCGGCGAGACACUUCGGACGGACAAGUAAACGAGCUACUCGGGACGGGCGAGUGGACGAGAUACUUCGAUCGGGCGAACUGGCGAGCUGUUUGAGACGGGCAAGCUGACGAGCUGUUUGAGACGGACAAGCUGACGAGCUGUUCGAGACGGGCAAGCUGACGAGCUGUUCGAGACGGGCAAGCUGACGAGCUGUUCGAGACGGGCAAGCUGACGAGCUGUUCGAGACGGGCAAGUUGACGAGCUGUUUGAGACGGGCAAGCUGACGAGCUGUUUGAGACGGGCAAGUGGAUGAGAGCUCUUUGUCUCUGCGUGUCAAGCCGGAUCCAGAUCCUUUUGACAGGACAUGCUAUUCCGUAUUUAUAGUACUCUGCGUGUAGGGCACUCCUCUAGGGCUUUGACGAGCCUACCCUCUUGACUUAACAUUCUGCUUAGGCCUUUGAUUUGGAUUUGGGCUUUGGGCCAAGCAAGCCCAAAUCUAACCCCUAACAAAUUCUAACAUUAAUGAUGAAGUUUCGAGAAUUGAGUGACUUACUCGAGAAAGAAUAAUGACAAAUGAAACAGCAAUCGAUUUGUGACAGUUUUUUUUAAUCUUGACAAAAGGUACAAUGUUGGUGUGAGAUGGAGAAAUGAUUUUGUGUUUGCUGAGUUUAGAUCUUGGAAAUGAAAGUGUAUUUAUAGAGUUUGAAAGGAUUGAUAUGGUUUUAGGUUAG
rnacentral:sRNA from 1 species